AGAGUUUGAUCCUNGNCUCAGAACUAACGCUAGUGGCGUGUUCUUAGUCAUGNGAGUCGAGCGAGAAANCCCUCUUCGGAGGGUGAGUAGAGCGGCAAACGGGUGAGUAACGCGUGGGUAAUCUACCUCCGAGUUGGGGAUAACACUCCCAACGGGGUGCUAAUACCGAAUUCGAUGUGACGGUCUCGGCCGCCACAUGAAAGAUGGCCUCUGCUUGCAAGCUGUCGCUCGGAGAUGAGCCAGCGUCCUAUUAGCUUGUUGGUGGGGUAAUGNCCUACCAAGGCGACGAUGGGUAGCCGGCCUGAGAGGGUGAACGGCCACACUGGCACUGAGACAAGGGCCAGUCCCCUACGGGGGCCAGCAGUCUAGAAAUUUGCACAAUCGCCGAAAGGCGGAUGCAGCGACGCCACGUGGAGGAUGAAGUCCUUCGGGGCGUAAACUCCUGUCAGAUGGGAAGAAGGCGCGGGUAUUAAUACCAC
rnacentral:rRNA from 1 species